AUGAAUAAAAAUAACAUCGACACAUUAACAUGUUCGGAAAGGAAUGAUGAAUGUUUAUCACCAGGUGGACAUUUAGAUAUUAGUAAAACUUUAACAGAAACAACAGUCGGAAAACAGAACCAAACUGAUAUUUCCAACAAUGAUAAAAACAAACAUGAAACAGCUGUUGAUGAUUCUUAUGAAGAACUGAGAAAAAGAAGAAUAAAAAAAAGAAUGAAGCAAAAUAAUAUUUCUUUUAUAUCAUCCGAUAGUAGAGAUUUUUAUAUAAAUGCGAUGAAUAAAUCCAAUUUGUCCUUAAAAAACAAUUGUUUUAGCUUUUGUUGUAGGAAAAAAAAAAAUAGAAAAAUUGCAAAUCAGGAUACUACAUCUCUCGAUAAUAAGAAUAAAGAAACAAAUGAAAUAAAUAAAGAACUGAGUAACGACGUUAUAGGAAACAUGAAUAACAAAAACAGGCGAAUAAACAAUUACAAUACAGAUGUAAAUAAUAUAGACUGGUUAAUAUACACAAUUAGGUAUAUGGAUUACAGAAGAUUGAGAAGAACCUUUAAUGGUAUAAGAAAACCUUUAUCCAAAAAAAUUAUGUUCAUUAUAAGUAUUUUUUGCUUAUUAUUAUUAUCAAUGAGAUAUUUUAGAGCAAAGUAUUAUAACAACAAAUUAAUUAUUAGUCUUGAAUUACAAACUUCUUGGUUAUUUUUUUUUGAAGCUGCUUUGGUAAUUAUUGGUAUAGUUUUGUUUGCAAAAUUUCAGACACGUUUAAGUUUACAUUGGCCUAUAUAUGCAUCGUAUAUAUUUAUUAUCUGCGCAACAGCUUCAUUAUUUUUUUAUGAUAAAAAUAAAACUUAUAAGAAUAUGAAUGGAGAACAUAUUUUAAUGAUUUAUGGUAUUGUCCAAAUUUCUCUUAUAAUAUUCGUAACAAUUAUGAUAUAUAUUGGUCCACUUUUAGCUGUAUAUGGUUUAUUUUUCCCAUGUACAGAAAAUUGUAGAAUAUUAAAAAAAUAUAUUUCAACUAAUAAGUUAAAUAUAACUAUAAGUCGUUACAACGAUUUCGCUGGUUUAUGUGAAAAUAAUUUUUGUUGUUUAUGUUUAUUUGCAUAUAUAUCUGUUUAUAGAAUUAUUAAUUUUUUUUAUAAAAAAAUUAAGAAUAUACGUUUUAAAAUAAAAAAAGAUAAUAAUUUAUAUGAAGCACCUUUUAGUCAUCAAUUAAGAUACAAAGGAAAAACAGAUAUUUAUGGUAGACCACAUGGAUAUGGAGAAUGGAUUGAAGAUCAUUCUUAUGGUGAAAAACUAAAAGGUUUUUGGUUUCAUGGUUAUCCAGUAGGUCCUUUUAUAUCUCAAGAAGUUGGUAGUGGUUCUUUAUUUGUAAAUACAAGAGUAGGUUUUGCUGCAUGUGUAGGUAAAGAUUGGGGAGAUGUAAAAUAUGGUGUUACAUGUACU
rnacentral:lncRNA from 1 species